rnacentral:rRNA from 1 species
GUUUUUCGCUUGAGGAUGAGCCCAUGUGGGAUUAGCUAGUUGGUGAGGUAAUGGCUCACCAAGGCAACGAUCUUUAGCUGGUCUGAGAGGAUGAUCAGCCACACUGGAACUGAGACACGGUCCAGACUCCUACGGGAGGCAGCAGUAGGGAAUAUUGCACGAUGGAGGAAACUCUGAUGCAGCGACGCCGCGUGAGUGAUGAAGGCCUUCGGGUCGUAAAGCUCUGUCGUAUGGGACUAACAAAAUG